UUUUUUUUUUUUAUUUGCUCAUAUCCCUGCAGUAUUGAAAAACCCGCACUAUUUCAAGAGCUUAGAUGUGUCUAUUUCUUUAGAGUCUUAAGCAGACAAGAAAACUAAAACUUUUUUUUUUUUCUGUAUCAAUGACUUUUAAAAGCCUCCCCAGGAGGAAAAGGAAGCCACUGGAUAGGGCCAAUAUCAAAGCUGAAGAAUAAAGAUGACAGGUCAAGAGACACUUCUGUUUACAUCAGCAUGCUCUGGACCAAUGUACCAGAGAAUACAUCAAAGCCACUACUAAUGCCAGCUCUGGAUCUCUUUUCUAGCACAUGAAACAUUUUGAAAUAUUUUCCUGACUGCCAUCUAAAGUAAAACAAUUGCAAAGCACUCUCAUUUGAUUGGGAGCAUUUGAACUUUCAGUUUUUCAUAGUUACCCUGGCCUUAUCCAAAACAAACAAUGUCUUUAGGAGAAUGAGACCAGCAAUGCCAAUACAUUGUAGUAACUAUAACCUGUCUACGUGACCAAAUCUUAUAGAUGUUGCUUAAUUUUUUAAUUUACAGAAAGACAAUUUACAGAAAUAAAAGUAAAGAAAAAUUGUCUCUUCCUUCCAGAGCACCCAUAUAGUUGUUCCUACAUAUACCUAUUCUCCCCUUUCCCUCCUCCCAAUAAUUGAUUUGCUCCAUGGCAUCCUGGGAAAGCAGAGAGUUAUGAUCAUUUCCAUUUUGGAAGUCGGGAGGUUGAACGGAGAGGUUGUGUGAUUUGUCCAAGGCUUUGCAAAAGCCUAAGGCAAACUGAGAAAAGAAUCCACUUCUCUUGACCUUCUUGUCUGUGUCUUGUCUGCCAGGCUGCCUGUCUUCCUAGCAGCUGACAGAACUACUGACAAGGGCGAAGGCCAUAUUGAUCCUAUAGUUAGACACUGAAAAAACAUCAUUAUUUAGCAUCAGUUGGUUUCAGUAGGUGUCAUGUCCCUUGGACAGAAUUUGACACUUAGAAGUAUUAAUUUUUAAGCCGAAUUAUACCUACUGUGAUACCAAUAUCAGAACUUGAUAUGUUGCUGGUAAAUAAACGAUAACAAAUGCAAAAGAUUUUUUCAAAACAAAUAAAUAUAUCUGUGAUACAUAUGGUUCCUUUGACAGAUAAGGUGUAUGUAACUCUUCACUCUGCACACCAGUCUCAGGGAUACAGUAGCUCAUCAGUACAUGGCACAGAUGGAAAGCCAAAGAUCCCGCUGUGUCUCAGCAGCGCUGCGCAGGCAGUGGGACAAACCCCUUCUGUGGCACAUGCCCUCAGAACGCAGCUGCCUCCUCACUGGCUCAUCAGUCAGCACUGCAAAAGAAAGCAAAAUCAAUUGAAACCCCUCCAUUUCAGCAAGCUUAGUAUGAACAGGAGUGGAGGAGUGUGCAGCUGAUAACGUGCCCCCCUUUGUAGAGUCACUGUUCACCUCCCCACCCAAUUUCCAUUGUAAGAGCCUCUCAGGCCAUCUCCUGAUGGGCAGUGCUCCACUCAGGGGAAUUUGGACAGAGACUCAGAACAGCAACGUUUUGGAGCUGGGUAAUCUACAAUAGAAGGAGGAGGAAGAUAAGCACAUUGUUAGUUUCUGCUCAUAUGCAAUGAAAGCAGACAAAACAUCCAUCAUCCUGUACAAUAUUAGUCUUUAAAUAUUCAGCUUUAUCAGUUCCCCCAUUCCUAAUCCAUCAUUAACCACCCCAUGAAGUCUCAGCUGAUUAGCCCCACCUCUGCAGCUCAGCAAACCAUUAACUAUUUAUUAUUUGUAUUUAAUUGAACAUCAGUAGCAGUAGAAAACUCUAACCAGACACAUUUCAAAACCAGAACAAAGGAGAUGGUCCCCUGUCUAAGGAAUUCAUGGUUUGGACAAGAGUGAAAUGCAGCAAAGAGGAACUGACAGCCAUGCUGAACAAAGACUUACCCAUGUACCCUCUAUUAAAUUCCCCACCCCACAAAUUUCUAGAUUUUCUUUGGAUUCUUUUUUCAAUGAGAUCCAUCUCAGUAUCCCUUAAAAUCAGGGGUGAUGAUGGGAUUUAGGAGGGUCCUGAAGGGAAAAAAAUGGGAUUUUUUUAUGUUAGAUGAAAAUGGUUUGAAAAACUACCUAAAUCAUGAAAUAUUGAAUAUCAUGAAAUCAGGUAGUGAUAGAAACCAGGGAUUAUAGUUAUAGUAGGGCCAGGAAACUGGCAAACAUACACAACAUGCACAUUUUAUGUAGAUUUAAAUAAGUGGGAACAUUUCUCAGUUUAAAUGCUUCCUUCUCAGGGAUUAAAUAUAUGUAAUUUAUGAAGUGCUGUUUAUAUUUUGCUGAUUGCUAUUCAUAUGGGCAAUCGAAACAUAGAUACAAUUCUAAAUGUUUUUUUCUGCAGGUAGUCCUGGGUUUGGACACCUUUCUCUGUCUUUCUCUUUUUAUUACUUAGACUGGAAGCUAACGCUGGCUGCACAUUUCCUUUGAAGUAAACUUUGUAGAAGUCACUGGUGUCUUUGUUACCUCCACCUGGUUUUCUGUACCUUUCUAUUUAUGAGUCCCCUUUGAAACAUGCCUGAAAGAUCCAGUUCCCAAGAAAGCCACUACCCAGUCCCUGAGCAGAGCUGCACAGCACGAGCACUCUGCACCAGAGACUCAGCACUGGCUUGCUGUUUACUGAUCAACUUUAAAGCCCUGAGCACUGGAGGAAACAGUUUUCUAAGGGACUUCUCUCUACCUCUGUGCCCACUCACUGCCUUGCUACCAGGUAGAGUAUAAUGCCAGUCUGGGAACCAAGCUUAAUAUAUGAAAGUGAACAUGGCAGAUACAGGAAAAGUUGUUUUUUUUUUCAAUUUGAGUUGGAAAGCUCAAGUUAAAACCAUUUGAAUACAUCUUUGUAAUUCUGUGUCUGAACAAAAUAAUGUAUUUUUAGUAGCACUGACUAAAUGGCUUUGGGGAAAUUAAAAUGUAUCCAUCUAUAAUAUCUGUACUGUCUGUACACUUUACCCCAGUCUGUUAAAAAUAGGUAUUUUCCAGUACUAUUCCCUCUGCUUUUGAAUUUAUCCUGAUGUCAAUCUGUUGGAGACAAAGAGUGAUGACUCUCAGGGUACAAGAGGUGACGCAGUUAUAUUUACCUAGUUCUCGACUCACUUGCAUCUGUUCUCCUUUUAAUCCCUGUAAUUAAAAUGCCUGCCUGCCUCUUCAGUACACACUCUAAAGCAGUUUAUAUUUGGACAUCACAGCAAUCAUAGUUACUGCUGCAGAAGGACAAGAGGAAGACCAAUUGACUUAGGCCAGCACAGUUAAGAUAGAUAGUAUCUAUUCCUAUAGAAGGGAAAACAUAAGCUACUAAUGCAAAAUAGAAUAUGAGAGCAUUGAGUCAGAUGAAAGGAACAUUUAAAGUAGCACAGCCUGUCUCCCAUAAGAGCCAGAAUGAAAUGAUUAAGGCAACAGAAUGAGAAAUGAUGCAAAUAUGGAUAAGUAAGUUCUGUGGUAUGUCCACCCAGCUCCCACCUGAUUGCACUUUGGAGACUUCUUGAGCCAGAUGCUCUGUCAAGUCUAUCAUGUUUAAUAAAUGAAAAUGGAGCGAUUUCUCAGAUCUUCCAAGUCUGGCUUUUCCAAGCUCCUCUUUGAAGCUGUUUGGACCUUUUUCUCUCCAAACAUCCUGUGGACACUGUGUUCCCCAGUUCUUUUAUGUGUUAUGUAGAAGAACCUCACUUAAUUUAAUUUAUUUUAAGCUUCCUAUCUGCAUUCAGAACCAAUGAGGCAUGCCCAAACUAGUUUAAAAUAAUCUUGAACAACAUCUCCAUCCAUUUCUGUUUUAUUAGUUCCCCUCAUCUUCCUUCUUUCCUUUCUAAUGGCCUCUUUCUUUUAUCCUAAUUUCUAGAGGGUGCUACAAGCUAUAAAGGCAUCUAAUUUAUAAAUGCAUGUCUAUCACAUACCAAAAUUCAAAUGACUGAAAGCACAGCAGUCCUUCAGAGACAGAGUCUUCCACAAUGAUGUCACUUACUUGUAAGUUUAGUCUUAAACUUUGGCACCUCAGUUGCUUUAUGAGCUCUUGAGUGACAGUGACCUGAUUUUCAGAGGUGCUUAGCACCCACCAGCUCUUCAGGGGAGCUGCAGGCACUCCACAAGCACAAGAGAACACUUUUAUGCAAAGCAUCUGCCUGACUCUGGGCAUUCGAGUAUUAAAUUGUUACUCUGGAUUCAGCUUCACAGUGUAGUGACACAGGAAAUCAUCAGCCCUGGAGUGAAAUUAAGAGCCUUAGGACUGGCAGUGCAACCCUUAUUUAUUGUGAUUUAAGGUAAGUAGUAUUCUUUAAUUAAAUAUCACUAAAUGUGAAUCUUCCCGUUGUUUUUCAGGAUCAGUGGCAAACACUACAGAGAAGAAUAAUCCUACAGGUUUCAUGUACUAUAAAUGUACAGAUUUGCUGUAUCAGGAGUCCUGCUGGAACAUCUGAUUUUCAGCUUUGUAUCUGUUUCCACAGUAAAACACCAAAAUUUCAACUUACAUUUUCACCUGCACAGUCAUCUAAUAGAUACACUUUCCAUCUACCCUAUAAUUUUUUCUCUUUCUCUGUUCCUCUCUUGGAACUUGUUCAGACCUAUUCCCUAGCCAAAAGUGGGUGGGUUUUUUCCUUUCAGUGUACUCCUCUUUGCAUUUCUUUUUGCUUUCUCACCACCUUUCUAUGUGUCAGCCUUGUUCCACUUCUUCUCCCCGGUGGCAUUCAGAACUCCUGCUACUUUUGUACACUCUCACCAUUUUAAGCUGCUUUCCCACAUGCUGCUUUUCACGGAACACCUUCCAUCCACUGAUUUCCAAAGCACAGAUGCUUGUUCGCUUUCCGUGAUGGCAACAACAGCUCUGAAAGAAACAUAUCGUUUCCCCUCCUGCAAUUCAUGCACAAAUGCCUGGCAUGUGCUUGGAGAAAGCCUUUCAACUUUGAAUUUCCUUGCUUUUGUGGAAUCUGUGAAAAAGUCUGAUAAAUUACAGCUUUGGCAGUUAUUUCAAAUAACUUUAUUUGUAGCCAGCUGAGGUAAAAUCUGUCAAUGGUGCCAUCCCUGUGUUCUUUCAAAGGUUGUUGGUAUUUCAUGAGAGCUCAAAGUCAAGCUGGUUCAAAGGGAGGCUCACAUUUCAUUUUUUUCCAAGAAGGUUAGCUUACAUGUUCUAAUGGUGACAGGACUGUCUUACAAGACAUAAGAGCUGAGUUCUAGUUGAGGCCAUGAGUCUCUUCUAGUACAUAUGUUUUGUCACUUUAUCUCUCGCCUGAUGAUUUCUCAUCUGUGAAAUAGCUGUAAUACUAACUGAUAGUUGUAAUAUUAGUUAACAACAGACAAGAAUGCCCCAAUGAAUCAUAUGGGUGGCAAGGUUCUGGAGUUGGCCAUGGACCUGGUUUUAGUGUUGACAGUUUGGGCAAAGCCAGUGAACCUCAGUCUACAGCUCCUCUCAUCUGAGCUCAAGACACCAGCUGUGACACACAGUGUGCAGCAGGAAACUUCUCACAUUGUCCUGAGGGCUGAGAGGAAGAAAUAAUACAGAGCCUUGGCUUUGCAAGCCACUGCUGCCUGAUUUUGCAGGAAUGGUGGUGUACCUGGGGACCUCUAGUGAUAAUCAGAAUAAACACCGGUAUGGCAGGGUUUGCCACGUGUUUGAGCAGGAUUUCAGUGCACGCUAAGGAACAUAAGCAUGGUGUUCCUGAGCCUCAACUCCCAGAAGUUGUCCAAAGCUGAAGUCUCAUGGCAAGCAUUUGCUGAGCCAUCUGGGUAGGAUGGAAGUUACCUGUGACUGUCUCUCAUCUGCACCCUCUGGUGACCUGAAAACGAGUAGUGAAAACAUGUCAAUUCCACUUAACCCAGUAGCACUGUGAUAAGAAAUCAAUAGCCACACCUGACUUCAAGAAUCUUGGAUGGAGAAGGAUACAAACGCUGAUCAUGUUUGAAGGUGAAAGAUCCUGUAUGUGUAGAGAAGGAUUCCAAGAACUGUCUUUGAGAAAAAUCUACUUACGAAAGAAAAAAGAGGAGGGAUACUUCUUAGGAAGAAGUUGACGUAGAGUACUGUACCAGUAUUUUCAAGAAUCAGCAAAAUUAAUCUAUUAAAAAAAAAAAAAGAGUGAAGUCAAAAGGAGAACUUUCUGCUAUAUUCCAAUCCCACAGAAUCUCUGCCCCUUUUCUUCUGCCGUUAUAGUAUCUGGGAGAGUUGCCUAUUUAUUAAACUAAACUCAAGAAGACUCUCUCCUGCCUUUUUCUGUACGGAGAAGAGAAAUAAUCAGAAGGGGAGGAAAAAGUCAUUGUCAAGAGAUGAACAGCCUCUAAUCGUCUAAGGAAACUCUGGAUUGAGAUUAGUAUCCACAGCAGAAAGGAAUCUACAGACACUACUGUGUGCGAGCAACGCUGUGGGCGUUUGUCCAAGCUCAGGAACGAGUGGAAUGUACCCCUUCUCCAAGGUGAAAGACUGCAUAGACAUAUGUUUUCCACGGUGACUGGCAUUACCAAGCAACCUGAUGGAGAGCUGACAACACCUUGGCAAGCAGGGAAUAAUACGGUAAAUUAUCAGCAAUAUUAAGAGAACCCAGUUAUGAGCCUCACCUUUACUGCGGCCUGCGACGUCUGGGGCUGCUACUUGGGAAAAAAAAAAGAAAAAGAGAAAACAACCUCCCUUUUUACCUUCAGCUUCCCCCCUUUCCCCCCGUGUGUGUGGGUGGACGUGUGGGUUUAUACGUGCAUAAUCGCACGC